AAUUCUAUCAAUAUUCUUAAGCAAAAUCUACUGCCAUGAUAAUGUUUUUUACUUCUCUCUGAGUAAUUUCUACUGUUCUUUUUGUCGAAGCAUCAGAAGUGUACCUAAAUGUCAAAAGUGAGGCUUGCUCGGAAAAGGCUAUAGAGUGAAGCUGAUCUGUGAAGGAGUGGAUCUCGUAGGAUUACGUUGGCAUUACAGUAGCCCUAACUCUACCGAAUAUGUGAACAUCUUCGAAAUUCUUGUGGAUACUUCUUGGCAAAUUUUUCUUAGCAAUAUCACUAAUAACAACAAUCCUGCAUUCUUAAGCGUUCAAUUCGUAAAUAUUUCUCGCCCUCUUGAGUCAAACAUGGCAAAUUAUUCAUCCACUUACAGUUGAUCUGUUGGCGCUAGAAAAGCAGAACAUUACUAGCAGAACGUGUGGCGAUGUCGUUACCUAUAAGAGGAUACUGGUUCACUUUUGCAGCUUUAUAUUUUUAUAUUUUUCCCCUAUAGACAACUCGACACUUCAAGAGACCUGUCAAAUAUAGACUAUACAUGGUCUAGUCUACAUGUUUUGCAAUGACAUAAUGUUAACGUUAAUCCAAAAAACAUG